UACGUAGGGUGCAAGCGUUGUCCGGAAUUAUUGGGCGUAAAGGGCUCGUAGGCGGUCUGUUAAGUCGGAAGUGAAAACUCAGGGCUUAACCCUGAGCCUGCUUCCGAUACGGGCAGACUAGAGGUAUGCAGGGGAGAACGGAAUUCCUGGUGUAGCGGUGAAAUGCGCAGAUAUCAGGAGGAACACCGGUGGCGAAGGCGGUUCUCUGGGCAUUACCUGACGCUGAGGAGCGAAAGUGUGGGGAGCGAACAGG
rnacentral:rRNA from 1 species